UACGGGGGGUGCAAGCGUUGUUCGGAUUUACUGGGCGUAAAGCGCGUGUAGGCGGCUUUGCAAGUCGGAUGUGAAAGCCCACGGCUCAACCGUGGAAGUGCAUCCGAAACUGCAUGGCUUGAGUCUCGGAGAGGAAGGUGGAAUGCUUGGUGUAGAGGUGAAAUUCGUAGAUAUCAAGCAGAACACCUGCGGCGAAGGCGGCCUUCUGGACGAUGACUGACGCUGAGACGCGAAAGCGUGGGGAGCAAACAGG
rnacentral:rRNA from 1 species